GCUUUCGUCCCAAGAUCAAAAAAGGAUUCCAUAUGUGAAUGUUGCUUGAGAGUGAGAAAGCGCUAUAGAAAUAGGAGAGCCUUGAAGUAUUGCAUAAACUCCAGGUGGGGCUCUUACAAGUCCAGGCUCAAGUCCUGUGAGAAACACUGAAGAGUGAAUGAAUUUCCCCUUCUUCAAUGUGGCAGAGCUGGAGCCACAACUAUUUGUAUGGACCCAUGAGCCUUGAAAGCCUGUCCUCCUCAAGUCUUCAGGUCGUGAAGCUAAGGCCCAAAGUGAGCAGACUCAUGAUGAAUCCAUUGGGGCCACCAUUAUAAUGAUUCUGAUCUGCAGGCUCGAGUGCAGACUGAGGGGAGAAAAGAAGGGAGAUUCCACGGGAAGGAGGUUAGCUACAGGUCAAGACACUUCACUUAUUGGAAUGUGGACAUUUGGGGAGGUAGGACAUAGGUAACAAAAAAGGAGAAGAAAAAUACAAGGACAGAAUCUUGGAAUUCAUUCAUUCAUUCAUUCAUUCAAAAAUAUCGAGUGUCUGUUGGGGCUCCAACUCUGUAUUAGGUGUGGGAAAUAUGGUAGUAGGUGCACAAGACAGAUGAAGAUUCUUCCCUCAUGAAAUAAAUAAUCUGGAGUUUCAAGAAUCCUGAGACCUUAAAAUGCUCCAUGAAUCUAAACAAGGAAGGAAAACAAUGAUAUUUCAACAAGUGUGUUUAAAGCAUUACUUUCUUGCUGACAUCUUUGCAUUUGUUGACAAAAUCACAGAUGCAUAUAUGUCAGCACUUCACUCUAUUCUGUGGGAUAGAAAUUCCAUGACAAAAAGUUGUUAUUGUUAGAUACUAUCAGCUGAAGCCACAGCCUCUAAUCCAGGGUUUGGCAAAAUAUAGUGUUUUUGUAAAUAACGUUUUAUUGCAAUAUAGCCACACCAAUUUGUGUAUGUAUGGCCUGUGGCUGCUUUCACGCAGCAGAAUUGAAGAGUUGGGACAGAAACCCUUAGACCCAUAUGCCUGAAAUAUUCACUAUUUGGCUCUCUAAGAGAAAAUUUCCUGACACUUGCUCAAAUGACCUUUUGGAAAUGUCUAAA
rnacentral:lncRNA from 1 species